AGAGUUUGAUCAUGGCUCAGAUUGAACGCUGGCGGCACGCUUAACACAUGCAAGUCGAGCGGUAACAUGAUUAGUAGCAAUACUAAUUGAUGACGAGCGGCGGACGGGUGAGUAAUACGUAGGAACCUAUCCUUGAGAGGGGGACAACCAAGGGAAACUUUGGCUAAUACCGCAUAAACUCGAGAGAGCAAAGCAGCCCG
rnacentral:rRNA from 1 species